GAUGAACGCUGGCUACAGGCUUAACACAUGCAAGUCGAGGGGAAACGACGGGGAAGCUUGCUUCCCCGGGCGUCGACCGGCGCACGGGUGAGUAACGCGUAUCCAACCUGCCUCUGACUGAGGGAUAACCCGUCGAAAGUCGGCCUAAUACCUCAUGGCAUCGUCUGCGGGCAUCCAACGACGAUUAAAGAUUUCAUCGGUCAGAGAUGGGGAUGCGUCUGAUUAGCUUGUUGGCGGGGUAACGGCCCACCAAGGCGACGAUCAGUAGGGGUUCUGAGAGGAAGGUCCCCCACAGUGGAACUGAGACACGGUCCAAACUCCUACGGGAGGCAGCAGUGAGGAAUAUUGGUCAAUGGGCGAGAGCCUGAACCAGCCAAGUAGCGUGCAGGAUGACGGCCCUAUGGGUUGUAAACUGCUUUUAUGCGGGGAUAAAGUGAGGGACGUGUCCUUCAUUGCAGGUACCGCAUGAAUAAGGACCGGCUAAUUCCGUG
rnacentral:rRNA from 1 species